rnacentral:rRNA from 1 species
CCCUAUGGGGUGCAGCAGGGGGUGUCUCAAGCACUGCUAGCAAAGUUCAACGAUUGAAGAGAUUCACAAUGGCACAUUUGCUAUAACAGUUUCACUAAAUUGAUUCAACUCACUACUGUCCCGUUAAGCACAUCAUGAUUUCUUCCAACAUGAAGAAUUAAAAAGAGAUGAAAGCAAAUGUUGCAGGAAUCGAUUUGAAAUUACGGUUAUCCUCGCGGUCUCAUUCUUUGAUCUGGAGACCGCAUGAAUCAAGGACAAACCGUUUUCGCCCAGCUCAUGGAUCACUUGCCGCAGCAUCUCUUCGACCGUUGUGCCAGCCAGUUCGACGGGAAUCGGCGGAUCCGCUCCUUCUCCUGCUGGGACCAGUUUCUGUGCCUGGCCUUCGCCCAACUGAAUUGGCGGGGGGGC